rnacentral:rRNA from 1 species
GUAGGUGGCGAGCGUUGUCCGGAUUUACUGGGCGUAAAGAGCGCGCAGGCGGUCGUACAGGUCGCGUGUGAAAGCCCCCGGCUCAACUGGGGAGGGUCACGCGAUACUGUUCGACUCGAAGGCAGGAGAGGGAAGUGGAAUUCCCGGUGUAGUGGUGAAAUGCGUAGAUAUCGGGAGGAACACCAGUGGCGAAGGCGACUUCCUGGCCUGUUCUUGACGCUGAGGCGCGAAAGCUAGGGUAGCAAACGGGAUUAGAUACCCCGGUAGUCCUAGCCGUAAACGAUGGACACUAGGUGUUGGUGGUAUCAACCCCGCCAGUGCCGAAGCUAACGCAUUAAGUGUCCCGCCUGGGGAGUACGGCCGCAAGGCUA